rnacentral:lncRNA from 1 species
GUGCCCAGUGCCCAGCACAGUGUCUGACUCACUAGUAACCAGAUAAAGACUUACAGGAACCCUGCAACCUGAUAACUCAACACUGGUACAUGAAACCAGGAAAACAAUCCAGAAAGGCAGACAAGACUCCCAUUUUGAGAUGUCUUAGGAUCCAGAGUUACACUGUUCAGUACAAUUGUCACUAGCCACAAGAGACCAUUCAAAUUUAAAUUCACUAAAUUAAGAAGAAUGGUAGAAUCUGUUUUUCAACGAUGUCAGUCUUAUUGCCAGUGCUCAGUGGUCACACUGGUUGUAGCUUUCUAGUUCCCAUCAUCAAAGCUAGUUCCAAAGGGAGAGGUUUUUGUUUCUGAUAAUUAUGGUGAGCUUUAUCUAUUCCUAUACCCUUGUGAGAGCACUGGGAUUCACUGUUUCUGUAACAGUGACUUGAAACUCAUAUAGCUUGGUCAAUGACAAGUCUGGUAUUGAAUCCAAUUACUCUGAUGCCACAGAUUGUUGUGGAUUAAUGGGAUGUGGACAUACUACGGAUUUCCUUACAACGUACCAGGGUAGGAAACAAACAAUCAAAACAUCAAAGUUCUCUUUUGGCUUCCUGUGUGAAUACAGUCAAUUAUGAAGACAGAAUGGAAGCACCAGUGUGGUUAUUUCUACUGCAGUGGCAUCUUGCUUUGCCAGGUGGUGGCUACACCCUAUGAGCCUGGCUUCAGGUGUGCAGAAGUGACCCCUUAUAAAGUAGAGGAGAGGCUGGCUUGCUCUCUUGGCUUGUGGUAAGAUCAUCGGAAGGGCAGAGACUGCAUCUUCUGUAGCAGGAAGACCUCAGCGGUUAUUUAUUAUCAUUUGUGUAAGAGCUUCC